rnacentral:rRNA from 1 species
AACGAACGCUGGCGGCAUGCCUAACACAUGCAAGUCGAACGAGACCUUCGGGUCUAGUGGCGCACGGGUGCGUAACGCGUGGGAACCUGCCCUUAGGUUCGGAAUAACUCCCCGAAAGGGGUGCUAAUACCGGAUAAUGUCUUCGGACCAAAGAUUUAUCGCCUUUGGAUGGGCCCGCGUUGGAUUAGCCAGUUGGUAGGGUAAAAGCCUACCAAGGCGACGAUCCAUAGCUGAUCUGAGAGGAUGAUCAGCCACACUGGGACUGAGACACGGCCCAGACUCCUACGGGAGGCAGCAGUGGGGAAUAUUGGACAAUGGGCGAAAGCCUGAUCCAGCAAUGCCGCGUGAGUGAUGAAGGCCUUAGGGUUGUAAAGCUCUUUUACCCGGGAUGAUAAUGACAGUACCGGGAGAAUAAGCGCCGGCUAACUCCGUG